rnacentral:piRNA from 1 species
UGUUGGCUCUUCUCCCUGCGUCUUCUGCCA